GAGGAACUGAUUGACCGUUUAGUG
rnacentral:siRNA from 1 species